rnacentral:rRNA from 1 species
UGUAAGCGUAUACCAAAGUUGUUGCAGUUAAAACGCUCGUAGUCGGAAUUUGGCAGUUCCGGAUGUGUGCACGUCGUGUGCGCACUUCGCGGGGAUUGCUUUUGUGGUCUUGCGUAGGAUGAGGCACUUUUAUUAGUGAACGUCCUCACGCAACCACUUUUUACUGUGAGAAAAUCAGAGUGCUCAAAGCAGGCAUUUGCCGUGAAUGUAUUAGCAUGGAAUAAUAGAAUAGGACUUGGUUCUAUUUUGUUGGUUUGUUGGGACUGAGUAAUGAUUAAGAGGGACAGUUGGGGGCAUUUGUAUUUCGGUGCUAGAGGUGAAAUUCUUAGAUUACCGAAAGCCAAACUGCUGCGAAAGCGUCUGCCAAGGAUGUUUUCAUUGA